rnacentral:rRNA from 1 species
GAUGAACGCUGGCGGCGUGCCUAAUACAUGCAAGUAGAACGCACAGAUUAUACCGUAGCUCGCUACACCAUAAACUGUGAGUUGCGAAUGGGUGAGUAAUGCGUAGCUUAUCUGCCUGGUAGCGGGGGAUAACUACUGGAAACGAUAGCUAUUAUCUCAUAAUAUUCAUUAUUGCAUGAUAAUUGACUGAAAUAUGCAAUUGCAUCACUACCAGCUGGACCUGCGUUGUAUUAGCUAGUAGGUGAGGUAACGGCUCACCUAGGCGACGAAACAUAGCCGACCUGAGAGGGUGGACGGCCCAACUGGGACUGGAACCCGGGCCAAGAUCCUACGGGAAGCAGCAGUAAGGGAAUUUCGGCAAUGGACGGAAGGCUGACCGGGGAACGCCGGGGGAGUUAAGGAGGGUUUCGGGUCGGAAAGACCUGUUGUAAGGGAAGAAAGGGUGGGGUAGUGGAAAGUGCACGCUGUGACGGUAUCUUACCAGAAAGGGACGGCUAACUACGUG